rnacentral:rRNA from 1 species
AGAGAGAGACAUGCGCGCAUAUCAAUAAGCGGAGGAAAAGAAACUAACAAGGAUUCCCCUAGUAACGGCGAGUGAAGCGGGAAGAGCUCAAAUUUGAAAUCUUCAAGGUUCUACCUUGACGAAUUGUAGUUUAAAGAAGUGUUUUCUGUUAGUAGGAGUGGUAAAAGUUCUUUGGAAUAGGACAUCAUAGAGGGUGAGAAUCCCGUAUUUGGAUCCAUUAUUUCCUAGCUUUGUGACUACACUUUCAAAGAGUCGGAUUGUUUGGGAAUGCAGUCCAAAAUGGGUGGUAAAUUUCAUCUAAAGCUAAAUAUUGGCGAGAGACCGAUAGCGAACAAGUACCGUGAGGGAAAGAUGAAAAGAACUUUGAAAAGAGAGUUAAACAGUACGUGAAAUUGUCAAAAGGGAAGCGUUUGACACCAGUGUUGUUUUUCCGAAAAUCAAUUAAAAAUGGAUUCAUGCUAGGUAGUAUUUGACUUCAUCGGCUUGCUGCUUAGUUUUGGGUUCUUUUUUGAUGCACUUUUCGGUUAACAAGUCAACAUCAAUUUCUUUUGUUGUAAAAGGAAGUCAUUGGAAGGUGGCUUUCAGCUUCGGUUAAAGUGUUUAUAGCCUUUUACUUCUGCAGUCGGAGAGAUUGAGGUCUGCAGCGUAGAUCCUUCGGGGUUAGAUACAGUUUGUGCUAAGUUAUAGCUUUUCAUAAACAACUUGUUGACUAUGAUUAGUCAUUGUAGCUUACUCGCUUACUGCUAUUUUACCUACGCUUAGGAUGUUGACAGCAGUAUAGACUGU